GGUGAGUGUUGACUGGGAUAGAAUUGGGUAUAGAAACAGAUUCUGAAGUAGAUGUAGGAGGGUUAGUAGACUCUUGAGGCUGAACAAAGAUGGUUGCAGAAGAGGUAGUGGACAAGGUACAAAAACAGUGGUAAUGGGAGAAUGAGCAGGUAAUGGUGAAAAACCAGGAGGAACAAGAGGAGCAGAGCCUGAAUUAACAGGUGAUGCUUGAGAUGUCUGAGGAAUAGAGGCAACAAAAGGUGAAGAAAGGUUAGGACUUAGACUAAAAUAGGAAUCAAGAUUUUUUGUGGAAUUAGAGGAAGAAGGAAAAAGAUCAGCAUAAGGAAAUCUCAACUCAUUAAACAGAACAUCCUUAGAGAUGUAAAUUCUACCAGAUGAUGACAAGCACU
rnacentral:lncRNA from 1 species